GUAAUAAGUGUUUUAUGGCACUUUUUAAAUCCAUAUCCACCUUGUGUGCAAUGUCAGUCGGUUUUCUUUUUCGUCAAGAAAAAAAGGAUCGACCAAACAUCAACUUAUUUUAAUUGAACUUUUGUCUGAAAACUAUUAUGAAUAAACUAAUUCAAAAUA
rnacentral:misc_RNA from 1 species